GGUAACAGAGACAUAACUCAUGCACCCAUUUUCGCCGUGUGUAUUCCGUUCCAUAAUGUGAUAGGGGCUAUUCUAUCACCACAUCAAGCAUAACUUCAAGACUCCGGGCUGAUACUGAGCAGAAAAACCCAAUAUCACUUUGCCCGACUUGGGAUUCGAACCCAAAACCCCACCACUACAGUCGUCCCGUAACUCAGCCAUCAAGGCAGUUGAUUUAAGAAUUUAUGUUAACGUACAAAUAUGAAGCGAUAAAUUUUAUACACUACUAUAAAUUCCUUUUAUGUUUUUAUACAAUACAUCGUGAUAAGUCGUGUGGAACGUAGUAAUGGUCGAAUGCUAUAUUUAUUUCUUCGUACGUGGUAGGGGCAGAUUAAAAGAGUAACACGAAGAUAGCCUCACGUACCUAGAACAUGAAGUUGGUAGUAUUGAAUUUAUUUUUAUUUAUCGUCCUUACAAAUGGAAAACCACAGGUUCCAUAUGACUACAUACCUUUGGGUAGGGAAGCCCGUCGUCAGGUCCCACUCCAGCCCCAUCCUUCUGAUGUAAACCUGAACUACGAGAGACUUUUCCCAGCAAGACGUAAAUGGAUUGACUGAUAAACUUAGCUGAAAUGGAA